GAGGGUAUAGCUCAGUGUUUACAGUACAUGCUUAGUAUUCAUGAGGUCCUGGGUUCAAUCCCCAGUACCUCCA
rfam:Camelus ferus unplaced genomic scaffold scaffold1073, whole genome shotgun sequence.